rnacentral:rRNA from 1 species
GACGAACGCUGACGGCGUGCUUAACACAUGCAAGUCGAAGGGAGUGGCGAACGGGUGCGUAACACGUGAGUAACCUGCCCUUUUAUUUGGGAUAAGCCUGGGCAACUGGGUCUAAUACUGGCUGGAUUGGGAUGGGCUUGCGGCUUAUCAGCUUGGUGGUGGGGUGUUGGUUUACCAAGGCUUUGAAGGGUGGCCUGGCUGAGAGGGGGGUUGGUCAUACUGGUACUGAGAUACGGCCCAGACUCCUACGGGAGGCAGCAGGGGGGGAUAUUGCACAAUGGACGAAAGUCUGAUGCAGCGACGUCGUGUGGGGGAUGAAGGCCUUCGGGUUGUAAACUCCUUUCGCCCGCGGAAUGGUAGUGGGUAAAGAAGCGCCGGCUAACUACGUGCCAGCAGCCGCGGUAAUUC